UCACAGUUGGAAAAUUCACUAAACCAAACAAUAUAUUUGUGAUCACAGGCAUGCUCAGUUAUGUUUUCUAUCUGUUACUCUAUUCUCAAAAUAAAAAUACGCAAGGAUGACAUUACAAAUCACGAUGCAUUUUAUCUAAUGUAAAGAACAGACAUCCAUCUGGAGUGGUACAGUAUAGUCCUGCAACUGAAAAGGCACAGUUACAGAGUUUUGUAAAAAUGGAAAAGCUCAAUUUUCUUGGUAUCACUGUAGUUUACAACAAGACAAAUAAACACACUGCUGUUUUGUACCCAGUGGUGGAAAGUAACAUACAUAAUUUACAACAGAACAAUAUAAGUUAUUAACAUUAUUACCAUGUUCGUUGAAAUGGUCAACAUGAAACAUUUUUUCUAUAAAUAAUUGAUAAAAAAAAAAAGAUCAGCAGAAUCACACUUGGAUAAUUCACUAAACCAAACAAUAUAUUUGUGAUCACAGGCAUGCUCAGUUAUGUUUUCUAUCUGUUACUCUAUUCUGAAAAUAAAAAUACGCAAGGAUGACAUUACAAAUCACGAUGCAUUUUAUCUAAUGCAAAUAACAGAUAUCUAUCUGGAGUGGUACAGUAUAGUCCUGCAACUGAAAAGGCACAGUUACAGAGUUUUGUAAAAAUGGAAAAGCUCAAUUUUCUUGGUAUCACUGUAGUUUACAACAAGACAAAUAAACACCCACACACUGCUGUUUUGUACCCAGUGGUGGAAAGUAACAAAGUACAUUCACCUAAGUACUUUACUUAAGUACAAUUUUGAGGUACAUAUAUUUCACUUACUUCUAUUUUAUGCUACUUUCCCUCUGACAUAGACUCCUUUAUGGAAAAUUUGAAUAUUCCAACUUUUAACCAGGAUUAUCGUGCUACCCUGGAAAGCCCUUAUUCAGAAUGCGAUACUGAACAGGCAAUUAGUUCUCUACAAAGUGGAAGAGCCCCUGGCCUUAAUGGGUUUACAUGUACAUUUUACAAGGCAUUAUCUACUAUGUGCAGUAUUUUCCGAAAUACACGCUCAACUCAGGCUACAAUCUCAGUAGAUAGAUCAGAGAAUGUGAAGUCGAUAACAGAAACAUUAGCAAUGUGUAAUGCUUCUGACAUCACUAGACUCUGACACAUGACUCUGUGACAUGCUGGGUGAAGUCUAGGUUCUCAAGUAAAGUUUUGAAUUCACGUGUCAAGAAGUAUAAAAUUAUUGAUAGAUAGCUGAAUACAUUUAUAGCGGCCACUGGGUCUAGGCACGCUAAAACUUCCAUAUCUGGAGGACAUAGUUCAGCAAGCUGGCAAUAAUCAUUUGGCUUCAACCAUGUCUCAGUUAAAAACAUAAAAUCAAGAUCUCUGGAAGUGAUAAAAUCAUUUAGGAUAAAAGUUUUGUUGGUAAGUGAUCUCAUAUUUAAAAGGCACAGCUUAAAUAAUGUAGCCUGGUGGUAUGUGGCCAAGGUAGUAGUACCACUUGAGUUAACGGACGAUCUGGCGAAGUCUGGCGAAGAGCUGGGUAGAUAUACUGCAUGGUCUUGAUUGGUGGAUGGGAAACAGGUGGGUAGCAGCAGAUGAGUAGCAGGUGUGUCAGGUUCUGAUUGGAGGUUCACCGGAGGCUGCACCCCCCUAGCACACAUACACACACAGACAAACACAGGAGGGGAACCAACAAGGGACAAACAGGCAGAGACACUAGGAGGGUUACAACUGUACCAUGACAGGGUGUGUGUCAGGGUGUAAAAGUGGGGUAAAGUCCUGCUUGUCAAGGAUGGAAAAUUUGUUGGUUAGCUCCUUCUGGCUACGAGUGGAGCUAACCAGGGCUUUGGGCUUAGAUCCCAGCUAGGUCCAGUGGUCUGCAGCCUGGACAAUGGCGACAUCCAGACAUGGCACAGUCGAGUCCAGUUCUCCGGCGGUUGUGGUGAAGGUGACAGCGCAGCCCAUGGUAAUCAAGGAGUCGAGGAUCCAUCUUGCAUCUGGUACAGGAUGGAUAUUCUCCCUUCCAGCUCAGAGAUUUUCUGGGUCAGGCGGAGACAGCUGUCGCAUCCAGAUGGUGAGAACUUCUGGACCUGCUCUGCCCUUCGGCCCUGCCUCCUGGACGCCCUCCAGACCUGCUCUGCUCUUCUGUCCAGCCCUCAGGCCAUCCACCUGAGGUCUUCCGCUUGGCCCCUGAAUCCCUCCUGCGGACUCCCUCCACCCACCCUGGGUGGACUUUGCCUGCACCUUGUCGGACUUGUUUGCCUUUCUUGGACUGCCUUCCCGAUUUUGACCACUGCCUGCCUGAUUUCCAUGUAAGCCUUUUGUUUAUCAUUAAAUGGUUAAAACUACA